CUCUUAAAAAAAGUUUUUGUUUUGUUUUUUUUUUCCCCUCUUUCUUAAUUACCUUUUGAUGAUUCUCUUGAGUUCUGUGCUUGGGCAUCAAAUUUUCUGUUCAGGUCUGGUAUUUUCUUUACAAAUGCUUAGAAUUCUUCUGUUUUGUUAAAUGACCAUACUUUCUCCUCUAGGAAUAUCAUCAGUUUUGCUGAGUAGUUGAUUCUUGAUUGUAGACCUAGUUCCCUUGUUUUCUGGAAUAUCAUAUUCCAUAUGCCUUUUGGUCCUUCAGUGUAGAUCCAGCCAGAUCAUGUGUUAUCCUCACUGUGCUUCCAUGGUAUCUGAAUGACUUCUUCUUAGCAGCUUGUAAUAUUUUUUCCUUGGUCUAAUAGUUCUUGAAUUUGACUAUAACAUUCCUGGGUGUUGUCAGUUAGGGAUUAACUAUAGGAGGUGAUCUGUGGAUUCUUUCAAUCUUCACUUUUCCCUCUUGUUCUAGAAUAUUGGGGCAGUUUUCUUGGAUAAUUUCCUGUAGUAUGAUGUUCAGACUUUUUCUUUUGUCAUGGUCUUCUGGUAGACCAAUGAUUCCUAAGUUGUCUCUCCUUGAACAAUUUUCUAAAUCUUCUGUUUUGUGAAUGAGAUGCUUCAUAUUUUCCUCAAUUUUUUUCAUUCUUUUGAUUGUUUUAUAGUGUCCUGCUACCUUGUGUAGUCACUUGCUUCUAUUUGUUGUAUUCUGGUUUGUAAAGACUGGAUUUCAUCCCUGGCUUUUCCUUCUGGUCUGAUUUUCUUUGGAGGUCAUCUUUCAUUUCCUUUGCCUCAUUUUCAAGCUGAUUAACUUUGGCCUUCAAGACACUGUUUUCCUUUUCCAGAUGACUUAUCUUGCUUUUAAAGUUUUCUUCAGCCUCUCUUAAUUGUGUUUUGAAUUGUAUUUUGAGUUCUUCCAGAGCCUUUAUCUAAUUCCCUGGGUUUUCCAUUUUUUUUUUUUGCUUGGAGUUCUCUCAUCCUUCUCUGUUCCAUUUGCUCUUUGUUCAUUGCCAUUAUAGAAGCUGUCAAUUGUAAUUUCUUUUUUAUUUUUAUGUUGUUUGCUCAUAUUUAUUCCUUCUUUACUCCCUGUUGUUGCCUGAGCUUUUGCUCCUCUCAUUUUUUUGUGGUUUUUGGCUUUUCUUUCUGCCUUCACUCUUAGAGUUUUGUCAGUAAAUCUCUCAAUGCAGUCUGUGAGGGAGGAGUAUUGGAGCUUGAGCUUCUCUGGCCUCUGGAACCUGUGAUGGGAUUAAGUCCAGCAAUCUGUGGGGAUGGGUUUUGACUUGAGCUUCCCUGGCCUCUGGAGGCUUGGAUGGGAUUAAGUCUGGCUAGGUUGAUGGAUGUACCCUGGGGCCAAAACCUUGGGAAGAGGGGGAGCAAUAUGGAGUGUUUCUGCUGCUGCAACUAUGCCUCCCACUCUGUGCUUUGUGUUUCUUCUCUAUCAGCUUCCCCACUGCCUGUAUUGUACACUCUGAGCCUGGCUUUGCCUUCAAGAUACUCCCUCCAGACCAGCACCUUUGCCUUACCAGAGGUUCCAGCUCUGCUGGAGGCUUAGCACUCUAGGUGGGGGAACGGUCCCAGGACCUUUCUUCUUCUUUUCCCUUAAAUUGGAGUGUUCUUGAAUUCCGGUUUUUUGGGGCAUACCUUUUAAGUUGAGUCCAGCAGGAGGGUUCCUGGGCUCUGUCUUGUUGUUAGGUUUGAUUUUCAAUCCCCUACGAGCAUUUAGUUUGCAAUCAGUAAGGAAGGGUUUUCAGAGGUCUGAACAUUUUCUGCCUCUAUGCUGCCAUCUUGACUCUGCUUCUCCAAUCAUAGGUUUUAGAUGUGUAAAUAAAUGAUUUCAGCAUUUGAAAUGCUAAAAAAAAAAGAAUGACUUAAGAAUUCACAGUUUAUUUAGACAGGAACAGACUAAUUCAGAGCAUAAACCUAAACUACCCCUGUUCAGUGUUUGUGGAAAAUGUUAUACUGAUUAGAGGAGAGAAUCAAAACACUUGUUAAAAAGACACUUGCUAGGUUCUAGGUUGCACUGAGAGGAGUAAAAACAGGUAGUGAAUUUUGUCAUCCCAUGACUUUAUCAUUUAUUUUGUUUACUUAUAGCUCCAUAUGAUUUUCAUUGCCUUUCCUUUCUUCUUUUCCUAGAGGGAGCUGUGGUUCACACCACAUCUGGAAGACUGGUUUUUCUACUGGAAUCACAGUCUUAAAUCAGGAUUUGCUCACUUUACAGCUGAAAAAAUCGAUGGACUAGAGAAAACUUGACCCAAAUUUAAAAACAGCAAUCUGGACCCAGAUUGUGCUCACCUGGUCCUGGCCCUGACCACUCCAGUGGUCUCUCUCUCUCACCUGGCCCAGUUGAUCCCUGGCCCCAGAAACUCUGGCCUUGGACCCAGAUGGCUCAUCACCCCAGGACCCAGGCUGCUGGUAACAGACUCAAUUUCUUCAGGAAUCAAAAACCACCUGUGGAUCAUGGCCAGAUAUGAAGAGGAAAUAGAUCUCAUUUUUGAAACUGAACUGUUUGGAGAAGACACCAUGAAGAUGACUCCAGACCACAGGCUGCAUGAGAAGAUCAAGAAUGAACUUUGGGUGUGGUUGAUUGAACAUUUAUUUGUAUGUAUACUUUCAUGCCAAAGAGGACUGCCCCCUAACUGUUUUUUUUUUUGUCAAUGCGUCUAGCAAUUAUUGGUUUUGUUCUUUUUUCCUCUUACCUCAAAUUAUUGUAAUCUUUAAGUUGAUUAUGUUUUCAUGAUCCUUUUUGGGGAAACCUUUCCCAAUAACGAUCAAACGGGAACAUGUUAAAAUGGAGAUUUGAACCCCAGACUUCAAUCCCCAGAAGUCCUUGGCAGUUCCCAGAAUUGCCUAUAAUCUCAUCAAAAUCCCCACCUGGGUGGAGAACAAAAUUUGUAUUUAAACUAACUGUACCACGGACUCUCUCUCUGCUUCAGAUUCUAAGCACACGUGCCUCUCAAGAUGUAGAGUAAGUUACUGUGAAUGGACUAUUCAGCCCUAGACACGUGCUUCUCUAAUUUUGUAUUUUCUUAUUUCCUUGAUUUCUAAUAAUCUUUAAUAAACCUAUAAAAUAUAA